rnacentral:rRNA from 1 species
UAUAAGUACACGCCUUAAAAAGGUGAAACCGCGAACGGCUCAUUACAACAGCUAUAAUCUACUCGGUCUUGACCAGUUACUCGGAUAACUGUGGUAAUUCUAGAGCUAAUACGUGCACCGAUGCUGUCCCUUGCGGGGCAGUGCAUUUGUUGGAGCAAAACCAGGCGGCUUCGGCCGUUUUUGCUGACUCAGAACAACUUAGCUGAUCGCAUGGGCUUGUCCCGGCGACGUACCGUCCGAGUGUCUGCCUUAUCAACUUUCGAUGGUAGUGUACGUGACUACCAUGGUUGUGACGGGUAACGGAGGAUAAGGGUUCGACUCCGGAGAAGGGGCCUGAGAAAUGGCCACUACGUCUAAGGAUGGCAGCAGGCGCGCAAAUUACCCACUCUCGGUUCGAGGAGGUAGUGACGAAAAAUAACAAGGCUGUUCUCUACGAGGCCAGCCAUUGGAAUGGGUACAACACAAACCCUUUAACGAGUAUCAAUGAGAGGGCAAGUCUGGUGCCAGCAGCCGCGGUAAUUCCAGCUCUCAAAAUGCAUAGAACCAUUGCUGCGGUUAAAAAGCUCGUAGUUGGAUCUGUGCCGGCGACGUGGUCCACCCGAAAGGGCGGUACUGCGCUCGUCGGCUUUGGGCCGGUCUUCGUGCGGUCGCCUUCAUCGGUGGCCGUCCGUGGCUGGCUGGUUUACUUUGAGCAAAUCAGAGUGCUCAGCACAGGCGUUUCGCCGGAAUGUUCGUGCAUGGAAUAAUAGAAAAGGAUUUCGGUUCUCUUUUAUUGGUUUUGUGGACUGAGAUAAUGGUUAACAGAGACGAACGGGGGCAUUCGUAUUGCUGCGUGAGAGGUGAAAUUCUUGGACCGCAGCAGGACGGACUACAGCGAAAGCAUUUGCCAAGCGCGUCUUCAUUAAUCAAGAACGAAAGUCAGAGGUUCGAAGGCGAUCAGAUA